GAUGAACGCUAGCGGCAGGCUUAACACAUGCAAGUCGAGGGGUAGAGGAAGCUUGCUUCCUUGAGACCGGCGCACGGUGCGUAACGCGUAUGCAAUCUACCUUAUACAGGGGGAUAGCCCAGAGAAAUUUGGAUUAAUACCCCAUAGUAUAAUUGAAUGGCAUCAUUUAAUUAUUAAAGUUCCAACGGUAUAAGAUGAGCAUGCGUCCAUUAGCUAGUUGGUGUGGUAACGGCACACCAAGGCGACGAUGGGUAGGGGUCCUGAGAGGAGAUCCCCCACACUGGUACUGAGACACGGACCAGACUCCUACGGGAGGCAGCAGUGAGGAAUAUGGUCAAUGGGCGCAAGCCUGAACCAGCCAUGCCGCGUGCAGGAUGACGGUCCUAUGGAUUGUAAACUGCUUUUGUACAGGAAGAAACACUCCCUCGUGAGGGAGCUUGACGGUACUG
rnacentral:rRNA from 1 species